rnacentral:rRNA from 1 species
GUGGGGAAUAUUGGACAAUGGGCGCAAGCCUGAUCCAGCCAUGCCGCGUGAGUGAUGAAGGCCUUAGGGUUGUAAAGCUCUUUCACCGAUGAAGAUAAUGACGGUAGUCGGAGAAGAAGCCCCGGCUAACUUCGUGCCAGCAGCCGCGGUAAUACGAAGGGGGCUAGCGUUGUUCGGAUUUACUGGGCGUAAAGCGCACGUAGGCGGUUUGUUAAGUCAGGGGUGAAAUCCCGGGGCUCAACCCCGGAACUGCCUUUGAUACUGGGUGUCUGGAGUAUGGAAGAGGUAAGUGGAAUUCCGAGUGUAGAGGUGAAAUUCGUAGAUAUUCGGAAGAACACCAGUGGCGAAGGCGACAUACUGGUCCAUUACUGACGCUGAGGCUCGAAAGCGUGGGGAGCAAACAGGAUUAGAAACCCGGGUAGUCC